CAUCACCACACAAAUCAAAGGCUUCUCUCUGGCUUCAAAAGGAACAGGAACAGGAUACUUUGUGUUGGGAGUUCUGCACUGAGCGGGAACUAUGCUGUGCCUGUUUGAGGCUGAACCAAGCACAUCUGAACGGGUCUGGGCAGCUGGGAAAGGGCACCCACAUUGGACUGACUGGGGUUGGAAGAACACCAGCAGGGAGAGGAGUCAGAAGAGCUCAAAGUGUGUAGCUGACCCACUAGGAAGCCCACAGAUAAGGCACAGAAGCCCAUCUCACUCAAGCCCACAGUCAUGUGGAAGGAAAUGACUGCACGGAUGAUGGUGGCCACCAACAGGCCCUGUACCCGGGGAGGAAUGGUUUGUCUCAAAGAUUAUCCCAAGAUAGCAGGCUACAGAUCUAAGAGAGUGGAUCUUGUUGUUGAAAUUCCAGGCACUAUGAUUCGUAUGCAUGUCCAUCCUGGAAGAAACAAGAUGGUCACUGAGGCUAGAGAUGUGAAGAAGCCAUUCAGUCAGCAAGGGAAACCUGUCAUCUGACUAUGUUCCUGCCUAUGCUGCCACCGUGUUCAAGAUAGAUGAGAGCUGCCCAAACGGGGGAGAAUUCACACACAAAGCAAGAUAAUGCUGCUAAUCACAUAGCCCUGGGAAGCAAAUGAACUACCAUAGAACCCAAGAACAUUAAAGACAAGAAUCAACUACUGGAUAACGUACAGGAAGUUGUAGUUAACUAAUCACCAAGUCUGGUGGGAAGCACGGUGAUCCUGAUUUUUGAUAAGAAGCUUUGACCCAGGCUUAUCUGUUUAUCUGUCUAAAAAAACAAAAAAACAAAAAAACAAAAAAACAAAAAACAAACAAACAAAAAAAAAAACCAGCCUUGUGGGUGAAUAACUUUACCGGCCAAGUAAUGAUUAAAGGCAUUCUAGAACUGAGAGAAACUCUAGGAAAUUUAAUAAUAAUAAAAAAAAAAAGGUUUCAUGUGAGGCAGAACUCAUUCAACUUACUGACUUAUAGAUAGCAAGUCAUCCAUUCAAAUAGUUAAAACUUCAUAAGGCUCCAAAAGAAACUCUGCACACAUGUAAUAGCUAAUUCUGCUUAACAACAUUUGAAAUAUGACCCUCGUCAGAGAUUAGAAGCAGUCUAAUUAGAGCUGAGUGUUGAUAGGCUUAAAGUCGAGCACCGCGGUUUGUAAACGGGUCUUUUUGGACUGCAAAGUCAGGGUCCUGUUGUUUGGAAAUAAUAAAGUUAAGAUAGACGCAUCUCAAAAAUCCUGUUUCUAAAACGCUAGGCCUGGGUUGUACAUUGAGCCUUUAUCUUUGUCAAAAAAAAAAAAAAAAAAAAAAAAAAAAAGAGAGAGAGAGAGAGAGAGAGAGAGAGAGAGAGAGAGAGACAGAUACUGCUAUAAUUACCAACAGCAAGGGUUUUGAUAUCUAUGAUUUUAGAGAACAAUGUUUCUGAGUGAAUAGGAAAGCAGCAGCCACUCAGAGAAGGGAGUGAUUAUGACAUAUACAGCUGCAGUAUGUCCUCAGAAGACACCGCAUCCUGUUAACUCCGCAGCUGGCUUUAUCCGUGCCUAUUACCCCAGCCUGAUGAGCAGCUGGGCAGAUUUUUUACCUUCUUGGUUUGAGCUAAAUUUCACUUUCCCAUGGCAAUCCGAAAUGCCAAACGCUGUAUGAAGUGUCUGGCAGACAUUUUACUUAGUCUCUGCAGCGAUCCUUUGAAGCAAGGGCUAGCCUCCUGUUUUACAGACGAGGACAGCGAGCGAGGCUCGGGGAUUUUGAGAUGGUUAACACAAGGUCGCAGAGGAACCCCCCGGAGCAAUCUCAGAUCUGGGCCAGGCUUAUUCUAGUCCUUCCUUUGUCCUCCUUUUCUCCUUUUCCUCUUCUUUAAAGCAUCUCUUCUCCCCUUUUUUUGAAAAUUUGCUAUGUAUCCCAGCUGGCCUCACACUUGGUAUAUUUCUCUCGCUGCAGCUUCUCAAGGGAUGGGUUAUAUAGGUGUUAGCGACCAUGCCCGCCUCUAGCCUACUCUUCUUAACAUCUAUCCUUCAACCCUACUCAAUUUAAAAUAGAUAAAACCAUGGCAGUUUGUAGGGAGGUAGAAGGCUCAUGUCCUAUAGGAUCACAGUGUGGGGACAGUUUUCUGCAGGUCAGUUUGGCAAACAAUGUACAUUCUAACUUAGCAAUUAAUCUAAGGAUUUAAGAAAAUAAUCUCCAAGCUGCAUGGAGGGCCGUGGUUAUAGAAUUAUUAAAAAAAAAAAUAAACACAAAAUCCCUGAAACACUGUAAACAAACUUGUAUAAUACUGUGUAAAGGCAUCUAACCAUUAAUGAUGAAAUUAUAUUGUUCAGCAAAAGAUACCAGAGUACCAAUAAA
ensembl:lncRNA